rnacentral:misc_RNA from 1 species
UCACCCCUCAAGCCCCGUGCUUGGUGUUGGACGGCCUGGUCGAGGUGACUCGACCCCUCCUAAAGACAAUGACGGCGGCCUGUGGUUCCCCCGGUACACUGAGCUUUUAACUGAGCACGUAUCGGAUAAGGGCGUCCUGGACCCGGUCCUCUCCUUUCACUAGGAAACUUUAUUUUCAA